rnacentral:rRNA from 1 species
UACGGGGGGUGCAAGCGUUGUUCGGAUUGAUUGGGCGUAAAGCGCUCGUAGGCGGGUUCACAAGUCGGAUGUGAAAGCCCCGGGCUUAACCCGGGAAUUGCAUCUGAAACUAUGAAUCUUGAAUGCUUGAGGGGUUGGUGGAAUUCUUGGUGUAGGAGUGAAAUCCGUAGAUAUCAAGAGGAAUACCGGAGGCGAAGGCGGCCGACUGGCAAUGCAUUGACGCUGAGGAGCGAAAGCGUGGGGAGCAAACAGG